GAUGAACGCUGGCGGCGUUCCUAAUACAUGCAAGUCGAGCGAACGGACGAGAAGCUUGCUUCUCUGAUGUUAGCGGCGGACGGGUGAGUAACACGUGGAUAACCUACCUAUAAGACUGGGAUAACUUCGGGAAACCGGAGCUAAUACCGGAUGAUAUUUUGAACCGCAUGGUUCAAAAGUGAAAGACGGUCUUGCUGUCACUUAUAGAUGGAUCCGCGCUGCAUUAGCUAGUUGGUAAGGUAACGGCUUACCAAGGCAACGAUGCAUAGCCGACCUGAGAGGGUGAUCGGCCACACUGGAACUGAGACACGGUCCAGACUCCUACGGGAGGCAGCAGUAGGGAAUCUUCCGCAAAGGGCGAAAGCCUGACGGAGCAACGCCGCGUGAGUGAUGAAGGUCUUCGGAUCGUAAAACUCUGUUAUUAGGGAAGAACAUAUGUGUAAGUAACUGUGCACAUCUUGACGGUACCUAAUCAGAAAGCCACGGCUAACUACGUG
rnacentral:rRNA from 1 species